UACGUAGGGGGCAAGCGUUGUCCGGAUUUAUUGGGCGUAAAGAGCGUGUAGGCGGUUUGGUAGGUCCGUUGUGAAAACUCGAGGCUCAACCUCGAGACGCCGAUGGAAACCAUCAGACUAGAGUCCGGAAGAGGAGAGUGGAAUUCCUGGUGUAGCGGUGAAAUGCGCAGAUACCAGGAAGAACACCCGUGGCUAAGGCGGCUCUCUAGUACGGUACUGACGCUGAGACGCGAAAGCGUGGGGAGCGAACAGG
rnacentral:rRNA from 1 species